CCGUAAACGAUGGUUACUAGCUGUUUGUUGCGUCUUUGACGUGAUGAGUGGUUAAGCGAAAGUGAUAAGUAACCCACCUGGGGAGUACGUUUGCAAGAAUGAAACUCAAAGGAAUUGACGGGGGCCCGCACAAGCGGUGGAGCAUGUGGUUUAAUUCGAUGAUACGCGAGGAACCUUACCAAGGCUUAAAUGCAUAUUGACAGUCCACGAAAGUGGGUUUUCUUCGGACAAUUUGCAAGGUGCUGCAUGGUUGUCGUCAGCUCGUGCCGUGAGGUGUCAGGUUAAGUCCUAUAACGAGCGCAACCCCUGUGGUUAGUUACCAGCAUGUAAUGAUGGGGACUCUAGCCAGACUGCCGGUGCAAACCGUGAGGAAGGUGGGGAUGACGUCAAAUCAUCACGGCCCUUACGCCUUGGGCUACACACGUGCUACAAUGGUAUAUACAAUGAGCAGCCAUCUGGCGACAGAGCGCUAAUCUAUAAAGUAUAUCACAGUUCGAAUCGGAGUCUGCAACUCGACUCUGUGAAGCUGGAAUCGCUAGUAAUCGCACAUCAGCCAUGGUGCGGUGAAUACGUUCCCGGGCCUUGUACACACCGCCCGU
rnacentral:rRNA from 1 species